CAGAGACACACGUACGCACUACACAGGUACGCAGUUUAUAUGUCGCGCUGCUGUUUUUGUUUCACGCUCUAGCAGUUAAUAAACAGAACUGCAUGCGUCUUGCAAAAGAACAUUGUAACCAGCGCUACUUCUCUCCGUUUAUGACUAUGGACGAGUCACCCAGCUACUCCACAGCGGCGGCGACCCGCUGGACUAAAAUAGGCAGAAAAUAAACACUUAUUAUAGGUGUACCGUGAUUCAGGAUACUGACUCCAAUACUCACCGAUAUGGUUUCGGAAUCGGAACAACUCUAGGUAAAAGGAAAGAAGUGUGACACACAGCUUUGGAGCAACUUAGUUGAUUCACAACACUACAUAACGGCUUCUCACUCUGCGUUUGUUUCGGGUACAGAGGAGAAGUAGAAGAGAAGAGGAUUACACCAUUUGCUAAGCCGGGAUGUUUUCAUUUUCAUCCUUAACACAUACAUUCUAAACCACAAACUACGGAGUAUGUUUUGGACAUUAUUUAACCUUGUCAAAGACGAACAAAAAUGUUAUAGAAUAACAUCAUUUCUUACUCCAAGUUUUAAGGGUGCUGAGCUCCUUUUUAGGGGUGCUGAAGCACCCCUAAAAAGGGGCUAGCCUCGCCCAUGAUCCACACUAAAAGCGGAGGUCCUGUGGGUGUUGAAUACUGUGACUAAACACCAAUCCUACAACGGGAACGAAGAAAUUGCCGAACUUUUCCGAGCAAUGUUCCCAGACUCUGACAUAGCCAAAACUUUUACGUGCGGGAAAGAUAAGACCUCAUCUGGUUUGGCUUGGAAGAGUAUAUAAAAAUACCUCGUCUCCAAGGUAUCGGGGCCUUAUGUUCUCAUGUUUGAUGAAAGCUUAAAUCACACAAGCAAGAAGAAACAGCUGGACAUACACGUUCGUUUCUGGAAUGACGACAAGGUGCAUUCCCGGUACCUGGGAUCACACUUCAUUGGCCAUUUCACGGCCCAGGAUUUGCUAAAGCACUUUAAAGAGUGUGUGCAGCAGCUGAAUCUCCGCAGGCUGGUCUCUGUAUCGAUGGAUGGGCCCAAUGUAAAUUUAAAGUUCUUUGAGCUUCUCCAAUCCGACUUAAAUGAAAUGUAUGGGGGUGCUCAGCUGGUGUCCAAGGGGAGCUGUGGGCUUCAUACUCUGCACAAUGCUUUCAAGGCAGGUUUCUCAAUGUGGCAGGUGGAAAAGCUGUUAAGAGCAAUGCACACACUCUUUAACAAUGUUCCAGCGAGGAGGGAAGACUACGUGACAGUCACCAAGUCAUCAGUGUUCCCCCUAUCAUUCUGUGGACAUCGAUGGUUGGAGAACCAGACCUCUGGAGGUCUGGCCUUCACUUCAGCUGUAUGUGAAUGCGGUGAAAAGAAAGGAGCUGCCAAACCCUGGUACAGGCUCAUAUGAUACAAUAGAGGCCGCUCAAAAGGAUCCCCUGAUCUUGGCAAAGUUUAAUUUUUUCACGACCAUCGCCCGUACCUUUGACCCCUUCCUGAAAAGGUACCAGACGGAUGAGCCAGUAAUGCCAUUCCUUGCCAAAGACUUGGCUGAGUUGAUCAAGAGUGUACUGAGGCGGUUUGUGAAGCGAGAAGUCCUGCAGGACAUUACAAAACUACAGCUCACCAAGCUGGACUUGAGAGAAUUUGCUCCUCCCACAGAAAAUUGACAUUGGCCUAGCUGCAGAUAAAGCCCUGAAGGUAUUGUGGUCAAUUUUGAAGUUGUAUUUGAAGUAAUUUUAGAAAUUGUGGUCAGGAUACAAGAAGCAGGAAUCAUUGUGUUGUACAUUCUACUUACUUGUGUUUUUAUUGUACAUCCCUCUUUAGGACACUAAAAUAUCAGAUCUCAGAGUCCUUGAAUUUAGAAGGCAAUGCAUUCAGGGUCUGACUAAUAUAGUCAGAAAAGUGCAGGAGAAGAGCCCACUCAAAUACGCCACUGUUAGGCAGAUGGCCUGUCUGGACCCCUCUAACAUGUUCAGAGACCCAGACAGGUGGAAGGAACAAAUGAAAUGUCUGGUGCAGACCUUUCUACAGGCCAAGCAGCUGGCAGGAGGUGUAUCUGCUGGUAGGAGUAGUUCUGGAAGGGGCUUUGACCAAAGUUAGAGUACCACACUGAAUUAUAUUAGACUGUGUUUACAGCAUUGUACUUAACUGUGCCAUCUUGCAGACAUUUGCUACAUUUAUAUACCUUUUCUCUUUUCCCAUCAGGGGUAUUUUUUAGUGUGGAUCUCUAGCUUUUGUCAUUUCCUCUUGUAAUGGUCCUGCACCUGUUCCGUGUGCAGUGUCUCAUGAUUUAGAAUUGUUUUACAUAAGGUUUUCCUUGCUUACAAUAUAAAGUUUAGGUGCAUCACCUAAGUGUUAACACAUUUGAGAAAAUAAAUGUAAAAAUCAGAAGGUACCGUAUUUUCCGCACUAUAAGGCGCACUUAAAAGCCUUUAAUUUUCUCAAAAAACGACAGUGUGCCUUAUA